GUGAAGCGAGACUGUGAAGUGGAGCAAUCACAAAAGACCGUCUCAGUUCGGAUCGCAGGCUGCAACCCGCCUGCGUGAAGUUGGAAUUGCUAGUAAUCGCGGAUCAGCAAGCCGCGGUGAAUACGUUUCCCCGGGGCCUUGUACACACCGCCCGUCACACCAUGAGAGUCGGGAACACCCGAAGUCCGUAGUCUAACCGCAAGGAGGGCGCGGCCGAAGGUGGGUUCGAUAAUUGGGGUGAAGUCGUAACAAGGUACC
rnacentral:rRNA from 1 species